GCGAACUGGAGCAACGGCAAGACGGGGAAUAGUCCCGCUCAGAGUUCAUAAGCUGCAGAGCACGAUUACACACGGUGAGAGAGGGAGAGCGAGAGCACGAAAGCUAGCAAAAGCAAAACAAGAGAGUGAGCGAAAGAGAGAGUAUGUGUGCCCAAGCGUUAACGCGACAACGUGAGGCAGCUAGACAGAGAGAGGGAGAGCCAGAGAGAGCGCAGCCAUUUGGGUACGCUGUAAUUUAGCUAGGCCCGCACAGAAUUUUUUGGUCGCACACAUCGUGCUCAGUGCUCAACUUGUCGUCGUGCUGUGAAAAAGUCGAAAAGCCGGAAAUCGAGCAAUUCUGUGACAGCGCUCAUCCACCCACCGCUCUCGCCAGCUGCUCGAGCAUUAGGCUGCCGCAAACACUACGUAUGCGGAAUCGCCGCCGGUUGUAAAACAAACGGUGCAAACAGUUUUGCAUAAUAUGUACAGCAAAUACAAAUAGCAAACAAUGGCGACUGCCCAAGAAUUAGUGUACGAAUCUAAUCAACAAUUCAGUGUUUUCAUAAAAAAUUAAAACAAAUAGCAACAACAACAACAACAACAACGACAACAAAAGCCAGCAACAAGAAACCAUAAACAAAUGCUUGUCAAGUGCAGUGCAAAGCGAUUUGUCGCAUUUUUCUAAUUCACAUUCACCCGCGUCGUUUGUGUUAUCAGCCUGAAAACAUCAACAACGACAGCAACAAUAAUAACAACAAUAACAACGACAAGAACGGAGACAGGCACCACAAAAACACUAGCAAACAAAAGGAAAAAAAACGAAAACAAAAACAAAAACAAAUGCUUGCAUUCUCGGCGAUAUGUAACUGCAUUUCAAAAUUGUCGCUAACGCCGCUGUCGACGCACAUGUAUAUGCGUGCCUGUAUGUAUGUGUGUUUAUAGAUUAGGAUCUCAAAUUGGCUCAAGUGAAAUCAAGUUGACAGCACGUGGUCGCAAAUCAAACAGAGAAGUGAACUGUUAAAUGGCUGCCGAGGCCUAUUUGUGCGUCAAUAUUUAAAGCCGUCAAUAGAAGGACAGAGGCGACGCUUCCCGGGACUGAGGCGAACGUGCAUGAGCCGAGAUCUAGAGGCUAAUGUAACGAGCACAGCCACAAGGGCUGAAGAUGACACAAAGCCAUUUGCCGGGCACAGUUUGAGCUGGUCUCGUCAUCAAUUACCCCUUCCCGGCGCGGUCCCAUUACGGUCGUGUAGCCAGCAGCGGAGGCAACAAUAGGCAACAGGCGACGGCAACAGGUCGUCAAGGAGCUCAACCAGCCUCAAGCAGCCCUCUCAGCCACAUAAGUGGGCAGCUACGUGACUUUGUCAGCCCACGCAGCUGGAGCCGCAGUCGAGCGUUUGAGUGAAGAGCAUCGCCCACUCAGUGGGGCUAGGCUUGGCCCGAUUCACCUGAUGUGAGGGCAUCAGGUGUAAUGAAUGUAUGCAAGCGACUUCGCAACCAUUGCCGCUGCUGCCGUUGACACGAUAACUAACAAUCAUGACCGAUGUGUCAGCUACCGCGGGCAGGGCCGGCGAUCGAGCCAGCACCACAAGCAGCGAGGUGGCUGGAGAGGCAACAUCUCAAGCGCUAACCAAUGGCGCCGCAAAGCAACCACUGACAGCAGCAACAGCUGAAGCAGCAGCAACAGAAGCAGCGCCAGCGAC